UCCUACGGGAGGCAGCAGUGAGGAAUAUUGCGCAAUGGGGGAAACCCUGACGCAGCGACGCCGCGUGAGUGAGGAAGGCCUUCGGGUCGUAAAGCUCUGUCAAAGGGAAAGAAGUGCAUGAUGGUUAAUACCUGUCAUGUUUGACGGUACCCUUAAAGGAAGCACCGGCUAACUCCGUGCCAGCAGCCGCGGUAAUACGGAGGGUGCAAGCGUUGUUCGGAAUCACUGGGCGUAAAGGGCGCGUAGGCGGUUUGAUAAGUCAGAUGUGAAAGCCCACGGCUUAACUGUGGAAGUGCAUUUGAAACUGUCAGACUUGAGUACCAGAGGGGAAAGUGGAAUUCCCGGUGUAGAGGUGAAAUUCGUAGAUAUCGGGAGGAAUACCGGUGGCGAAGGCGACUUUCUGGCUGGAUACUGACGCUGAGGCGCGAAAGCGUGGGGAGCAAACAGGAUUAGAUACCCCGGUAGC
rnacentral:rRNA from 1 species